UAGGGAAUAUUGCUUAAUGGGCGAAAGCCUGAAGCAGCAACGCCGCGUGUGUGAAGAAGGCCUUCGGGUUGUAAAACACUUUUUGAGGGAAUGAGGAAGGACAGUACCCUCAGAAUAAGCCUCGGCUAACUACGUGCCAGCAGCCGCGGUAAAACGUAGGAGGCGAGCGUUAUCCGGAUUUACUGGGCGUAAAGCGCGUGCAGGCGGCACGGCAAGUUGGAUGUGAAAGCUCCCGGCUUAACUGGGAGAGGUCGUUCAAAACUGCCGAGCUAGAGUGCGGGAGAGGGAGGUGGAAUUCCGGGUGUAGUGGUGAAAUGCGUAGAUAUCCAGAGGAACACCAGUGGCGAAAGUGGCCUCCUGGUCCGCAACUGACGCUCAGACGCGAAAGCUAGGGUAGCAAACGG
rnacentral:rRNA from 1 species